rnacentral:tRNA from 1 species
GGAGGGGUUACCCAAGCGGCCAACGGGUCCGGACUGUAAAUCCGGCGGUUUAUACCUUCGCAGGUUCGAAUCCUGCCCCCUCCACCA